rnacentral:rRNA from 1 species
CAACAGGGAUUGCCUCAGUAACGGCGAGUGAAGCGGCAACAGCUCAAAUUUGAAAUCUGGCUCUCGGGCCCGAGUUGUAAUUUGUAGAGGAUGCUUUUGGUGCGGUGCCUUCCGAGUUCCCUGGAACGGGACGCCAUAGAGGGUGAGAGCCCCGUCUGGUUGGACGCCAAUCCUCUGUAAAGCUCCUUCGACGAGUCGAGUAGUUUGGGAAUGCUGCUCUAAAUGGGAGGUAUAUGUCUUCUAAAGCUAAAUACCGGCCAGAGACCGAUAGCGCACAAGUAGAGUGAUCGAAAGAUGAAAAGAACUUUGAAAAGAGAGUUAAAAAGUACGUGAAAUUGUUGAAAGGGAAGCGCUUGUGACCAGACUUGGGCUUGGUUGAUCAUCCAGGGUUCUCCCUGGUGCACUCUUCCGGCCCAGGCCAGCAUCAGUUCGCCCCGGGGGAAAAAGGCUUCGGGAAUGUGGCUCUCUCCGGGGAGUGUUAUAGCCCGCUGCGUAAUACCCUGUGGCGGACUGAGGUUCGCGCAUUCGCAAGGAU